CCUACGGGUGGCAGCAGUGAGGAAUAUUGGUCAAUGGGCGCAAGCCUGAACCAGCCAAGUAGCGUGCAGGAUGACUGCCCUACGGGUUGUAAACCUCUUUUGUAAAGGAAUAACGUCCUCCACGUGUGCAUUUUUGCCUGUACCUUGUGAAUAAGGAUCGGCUAACUCCGUGCCAGCAGCCGCGGUAAUACGGAGGUGCCGAGCGUUAUCCGGAUUUAUUGGGGUUAAAGGGAGCGUAGUGGGGCUGUUAAGUCCGGUGUGAAAGUUGGCGGCUCAACCGUACAAGUGCAGUUGAAACUGGCAGCCUUGAGUACAGAUGAGGUAGGCGGAAUUCGUGGUGUAGCGGUGAAAUGCAUAGAUAUCACGAGGAACCCCGAUUGCGAAGGCAGCCU
rnacentral:rRNA from 1 species